rnacentral:rRNA from 1 species
UAAGCGGAGGAAAAGAAACUAACAAGGAUUCCCUUAGUAACGGCGAGUGAACAGGGAAAAGCCCAGCACCGAAGCCUGUGGCCAUUUGGUCAUUAGGCAAUGUGGUGUUUAGGUCGUUCCACAGAGGUUCUGCUCCAUCCUAAGUCCAUCAAUGAGUACGGUAGUAUGGACAUGGCCCAUUGAGGGUGAAAGGCCCGUGGGGGUGGAGACAUCGAAAGGCCAGAGCCUCUCUGGGUAGACCUUGGAGUCGGGUUGUUUGUGAAUGCAGCCCAAAGCGGGUGGUAAACUCCAUCCAAGGCUAAAUACUUGCACGAGUCCGAUAGAGAACAAGUACCGUGAGGGAAAGUUGAAAAGUACUUUGAAGAGAGAGUAAACAGUGCGUGAAACCGCUCAGAGGUAAACGGGUGGAGUUGAACUGCAAGCUUUGAGAAUUCAGCUGAUGAGUGUGGUUUGAGCUGGGUCAAAUUGGUGAACUCCGGAGUCUGCGUAUGAUCAGGUUCUCAUCUUCGGGUGAGGAUGCGCGAUGCACUUAUCAAGUGUUGUGCGCUUCGGUUGUUCCUCGGCCUGCUCGUCAGUGCACUUUCUCAGAGUAGUCACCACGACCGGCAUAUAUGCCUGGUGGAUACGGUUAAACCGGACUUGCAUUGUCUUGAUCGGCUUUGCUCGUUCGGGAUGGCAGGUAUCUCGUUGGCUUGUCUGUGGCUUGCUACAGGCUUUCGGUCUUCGAGUGUAAUCAGCUGACCGUACUAAACUUGUGCAGAAUGUCGGAGAUAGCGGCUUGUGGUGUGUUCAUUUGCAUUUGUUUGCUGACUUGUCCGGGUUUGGUUAUUUAGUUGCCUGUUAAAGCAGGCCUGGUGAUGGCUCGGAUACGUUCGGUAGAUGUUUGCAUAUGUGGCACUAUUCCAAGGGCCAAUAGUCUGUGGUGUAGUGGUAGACUUUCCACCCGACCCGUCUUGAAACACGGACCAAGGAGAGUAACAUGUACGCGAGUCAUUGGGCGUUACGAAACCCACAGGCGAAGUGAAAGUAAAGAUCUGACUUGUUCAGAUUGAGGUGAGAUCCUGUCGUUUCUCACGCAUGGUACUACCCAGCACCGAGCGGCAGGCGCAUCACCGGCCCGUCCCAUGGCAGUUGUUUUCGGACCGUUUUCGGUCGGGGCGGAGCAUGAGCGUACAUGUUGAGACCCGAAAGAUGGUGAACUAUGCUUGCGCAGGCUGAAGCCAGAGGAAACUCUGGUGGAGGGCCGCAGCGAUUCUGACGUGCAAAUCGAUCGUCAAACGUGAGUAUAGGGGCGAAAGACUAAUCGAACCAUCUAGUAGCUGGUUCCCUCCGAAGUUUC